rnacentral:lncRNA from 1 species
GGUUAAGCCUGUUCUGCCAGCUAUCUGAACUCCUUUGGGGAGGGGCUUAUCUCUCCCAGCCUAGGGGUCUCUAUCCCUACAGGGCUAUAGGCUUUUCUAUUACAUGGAGACUCAGGUUAUGGAACCCCAAGACAUGAGCUCACUUCCUUGGCAACACCUCCAAAUAGAACUUGGAACCCUUGUUAAUGGGUGUCACAAUCUAGUAACAGCUGUUUCCCCAGCUCACUUGGCUGGAGAUGGUCAACAGUGAACAUGCUGAGCUCUUUCUCCACUUCAAGAGGCUGCAGGCUCAGGACCCCAGGCAGAGAAAGUAUCUGUGAAAGAUUAAGAAGAUUGCUGACUCCAUCCAGAUGCUGCAUGACUGUCACAGACACCCCAGGGACAGUCUCCCUGGGAGUGACCACCAAUGACCUACCAAAAUCAAGGAGAGGACUUCAUGGGGGAAGCGGAAGUAUUUGAAGUGACAAACCUGUCCAGCCUCCCUGGGUCCACAGAGAAACUAGUGCUCCGGGUCCUCUUCCUGUUAUGACAACCACCCUUAACUCUUCAGAGAUAAAGCCUCUGCCACCUCAGACAUCAGUAUGGAACCAUGCUUGGGAUGCUUUAUGAUAUGAUAGGCAUACUCACAAUGGCAAUACAUGAUGCAAACAUCAGAUAAAAUCCUUUGGAACUACACAUCAGCCUUGAGUCUACAUGCCCCUAGUAGGAAUCUUUAGUGCUUUAUCACGAAGUUCUAAAGACAGCAUUUUAUUAUCGUAUUUUUGUAACUUAAAAGGAAGCUUGCCAUUAAGAAUUUUGGAAAUCUAUUGAAAUAACACAAAAAAGGAUGCAUUUUAUUAAAGAACAUCUUAAGAAAUUACACAGAAUUCACAAACAACAAAUACGUUUAAUGAAGUGAGUGAAGGUUUAUUAAAAUGGAGCACAACAGGGAAGAGCAGAUGCACAGACAGAUCGGAGAUAAUCAUGGACAACUUUCUUUAGACCUGGUAUUUUAAGAAUAUCCUGU